AUUGAACGCUGGCGGCAGGCCUAACACAUGCAAGUCGAACGGCAGCACAGAAGAGCUUGCUCUUUGGGUGGCGAGUGGCGAACGGGUGAGUAAUGUCUGGGAAACUGCCCGAUGGAGGGGGAGAACUACUGGAAACGGUAGCUAAUACCGCAUAACGUCGCAAGACCAAAGUGGGGGACCUUCGGGCCUCACACCAUAGGAUGUGACCAGAUGGGAUUAGCUAGUAGGUGGGGUAAUGGCUCACCUAGGCGCCGUUCCCUAACUGGACUGAGAGGAUGACCAGCCACACUGGAACUGAGACACGUUCCAGACUCCUACGGGAGGCAGCAGUGGGUAAUAUUUAACAAUGGGCGCAAGCCUGAUUCAGCCAUGCCGCGUGUAUGAAGAAGGCCUUCGGGUUGUAAAGUACUUUCAGCGGGGAGGAAGGCGGUGAGGUUAAUAACCUUGCCGAUUGACGUUACCCGCAGAAGAAGCACCGGCUAACUUCGUGCCAGCCGCCGCCGUAAUAC
rnacentral:rRNA from 1 species